rnacentral:lncRNA from 1 species
CAACGAGGGACAAAAAGAAGGCCGAGCUAGCAAAAAAGCAAGUGCCGCAACAUGUUCGACCUCCUAGCAGUGGUGGAACCCUAGACCUAUCUCUGCAUCUCACCUCGCUCUCAUCUCUCGACUCCUGUGUUUCCAUUUCACCUUUUUCGCUCUCUGAUGAUUCUGAAUCACUAAGCUCUUGAUCCUUCUCCUCACUUAAUGUAUCCGUUUUUACAAGUCCUUCAUCCUCAACCUUUUUGGACUCUUCUUCUUCACUACGUAUUAUGAUCUGAUCCUCUUCAGGUGUUUCUGUUUUAGGAAAUAUUUGAUCUGGUUCUUUUGUUUCAGUUAAAGAUGGUUCAGUUACAAUAGCGGGGGUUUCUAUUUUUGGAAGUUCUUUAUGCUCUCUCUCAAUAAUUGAAGGUACCUCUGGUUUUUCUGCUACUGCAAUUUCUUCAACUUCCUUGGAAGCUUCAGGUGUUUCUAGUUUGGGAAGUAUCUCUUCUUGUUUCUGUUCAGUUAAAAGCUCCUCUUCACUUUCUAUUUCAGGAAGUUCAACGCCUGGUUUCUCUUCAAUAGAAGCUUUCUCUGGGAUCUCCACAUCAGAAACAUGCUCAUCUUUAGAAGCCUCUGGUGUUUCCAUUUCAGGAAGUUGCUCUUCAGGUUGCAAUUCAAUUGAACCUGCUUCCUGUGUUUUCAUUUCUGGAACUUCUUGACAAGGUUCAAGAGCUUCUUUCUCUAGAUGCUCUUUUUCUUGAGAAGAUUGAGGUGUUUCAACUUUUGGAAGCUUUUCCUCUCUCCUCUCUUCAAUAAUAUGUGCUUCCUGCAAUUCCAAUUCAGGGCUCACUUGCUCCCUUGCCUCUUCACUUGGAGGCAACUCUUUUGUUCCCUCUCCAGAAAUAUCUUUAUCGACAAAGGGCUCUUUUGGCUCAGUAACCUUCUGAUCACAUUUCUCUUCAGCCAAAGCUUUUACCUCAAAAUAUUGAGUUUCGGGUUCCACUUUUACUACAGGAAACUCUUUUUCUCUCUCCUCUUCAAAAGCCCUUGAUUCAGAAACUGGUAUCUCCAGUUCUGGUUUUGGUUUGAGCAAAGGAUCUUCAUGUUCUGUUUUUAAUUCAGGAAGUUCUUUAUCUGCUUCCUUUUCUACUACAACGAACUCCUCUUUCUUCUCUUUAAUAGGACUAACCAGAAUCUCCAGUUCUUUUGUUUUAAGCAGAGGUUCUUCCUGAUGUGGUUUCUUUUCCACUGGAAGAGACACUUCCUCUAUCUUCUCUUCAAUAGGUCUCUUCACAGUAACAAGAAUGCUUGACUCUUGCCUCGGUUCAGUUAGUGGUUCUUUGUGAACUGCUGUCGAUUCAGGAAGUUCUUGAUCCGGUUCCUUUUCGAUUACACGAGUCUCUUCAUCUCUCUUCUCUUCAAAAGGAGUCUUUUCAAUAACCAGAGUCUCUGGUUCUUGCCAGGGUUUAAUCUCAUGCUCAUCCUCUAUUUUCUUAUCAGGUUCAAUCUUGUCCGGUUUUGGCUUAGGAACUUCCUGAUACGGCUCCUUUUCCACAACAUGAGGCUCUUUCUCUCUCUUUUCUU